rnacentral:rRNA from 1 species
AAGUCGAGGGGCAUCAGGAAGAAAGCUUGCUUUCUUUGCUGGCGACCGGCGCACGGGUGAGUAACACGUAUCCAACCUGCCCUUUACUCGGGGAUAGCCUUUCGAAAGAAAGAUUAAUACCCGAUAGCAUAAUGAUUCCGCAUGGUUUCAUUAUUAAAGGAUUCCGGUAAAGGAUGGGGAUGCGUUCCAUUAGGUUGUUGGUGAGGUAACGGCUCACCAAGCCUUCGAUGGAUAGGGGUUCUGAGAGGAAGGUCCCCCACAUUGGAACUGAGACACGGUCCAAACUCCUACGGGAGGCAGCAGUGAGGAAUAUUGGUCAAUGGGCGCUAGCCUGAACCAGCCAAGUAGCGUGAAGGAUGAAGGCUCUAUGGGUCGUAAACUUCUUUUAUAUAAGAAUAAAGUGCAGUAUGUAUACUGUUUUGUAUGUAUUAUAUGAAUAAGGAUCGGCUAACUCCGUGCCAGCAGCCGCGGUAAUACGGAGGAUCCGAGCGUUAUCCGGAUUUAUUGGGUUUAAAGGGAGCGUAGGUGGACUGGUAAGUCAGUUGUGAAAGUUUGCGGCUCAACCGUAAAAUUGCAGCUGAUACUGUCAGUCUUGAGUACAGUAGAGGUGGGCGGAAUUCGUGGUGUAGCGGUGAAAUGCUUAGAUAUCACGAAGAACUCCGAUUGCGAAGGCAGCUCACUGGACUGCAACUGACACUGAUGCUCGAAAGUGUGGGUAUCAAACAGGAUUAGAUACCCUGGUAGUCCACACAGUAAACGAUGAAUACUCGCUGUUUGCGAUAUACAGUAAGCGGCCAAGCGAAAGCAUUAAGUAUUCCACCUGGGGAGUACGCCGGCAACGGUGAAACUCAAAGGAAUUGACGGGGGCCCGCACAAGCGGAGGAACAUGUGGUUUAAUUCGAUGAUACGCGAGGAACCUUACCCGGGCUUAAAUUGCAGUGGAAUGAUGUGGAAACAUGUCAGUGAGCAAUCACCGCUGUGAAGGUGCUGCAUGGUUGUCGUCAGCUCGUGCCGUGAGGUGUCGGCUUAAGUGCCAUAACGAGCGCAACCCUUAUCUUUAGUUACUAACAGGUUAUGCUGAGGACUCUAGAGAGACUGCCGUCGUAAGAUGUGAGGAAGGUGGGGAUGACGUCAAAUCAGCACGGCCCUUACGUCCGGGGCUACACACGUGUUACAAUGGGGGGUACAGAAGGCAGCUAGCGGGUGACCGUAUGCUAAUCCCAAAAUCCUCUCUCAGUUCGGAUCGAAGUCUGCAACCCGACUUCGUGAAGCUGGAUUCGCUAGUAAUCGCGCAUCAGCCACGGCGCGGUGAAUACGUUCCCGGGCCUUGUACACACCGCCCGUCAAGCCAUGGGAGCCGGGGGUACCUGAAGUACGUAACCGCAAGGAUCGUCCUAGGGUAAAACUGGUGACUGGGGCUAAGUCGUAACAAGGUAGCCGUACCGGAAGGUGCGGCUGGAA